rnacentral:tRNA from 1 species
GGGGAUGUAGCUCAGAUGGUAGAGCGCUUGCUUAGCACUUGAGAGGUACAGGGAUCGAUACCCUGCAUCUCUA